GACGAACGCUGGCGGCGUGCCUAAUACAUGCAAGUAGAACGCAGUUGCGAACGGGUGAGUAACGCGUAGGUAACUGCCUCAUAGCGGGGGAUAACUAUUGGAAACGAUAGCUAAUACCGCAUACUGUGAGAUGGACCUGCGUUGUAUUAGCUAGUUGGUGAGGUAAAGGCUCACCAAGGCGACGAUACAUAGCCGACCUGAGAGGGUGAACGGCCAACAUGGGGAUGGGACAAGGGCCCGAAUCCUUAGGGAGGCAGGAGUAGGGAAAUUUCGGCAAAGGACGGAAGUCUGAACGAGCAAAGCCGGGGGAGGGAAGAAGGGUUUCCGAUCGGUAAGGCUUGGUGGUAGAGAAGAGGUAAACAACCAGAAAGGGACGGCUAACUACGUGCCAGCAGCCGCGGUAAUAC
rnacentral:rRNA from 1 species